rnacentral:rRNA from 1 species
AGAGUUUGAUCCUGGCUCAGGAUGAACGCUAGCUACAGGCUUAACACAUGCAAGUCGAGGGGAAACGACAUCGAAAGCUUGCUUUUGAUGGGCGUCGACCGGCGCACGGGUGAGUAACGCGUAUCCAACCUGCCCACCACUUGGGGAUAACCUUGCGAAAGUAAGACUAAUACCCAAUGACGUCUCUAGAAGACAUCUGAAAGAGAUUAAAGAUUUAUCGGUGAUGGAUGGGGAUGCGUCUGAUUAGCUUGUUGCGGGGUAACGGCCACCAAGGCGACGAUCAGUAGGGGUUCUGAGAGGAAGGUCCCCACCAUUGGAACUGAGACACGGUCCAAACUCCGUACGGAGGCA